UACGGGGGGGGCAAGCGUUGUUCGGAAUUACUGGGCGUAAAGGGCUCGUAGGUGGCCAACUAAGUCAGACGUGAAAUCCCUCAGCUUAACUGGGGAACUGCGUCUGAUACUGGAUGGCUUGAGUUUGGGAGAGGGAUGCGGAAUUCCAGGUGUAGCGGUGAAAUGCGUAGAUAUCUGGAGGAACACCGGUGGCGAAGGCGGUCUCCUGGGGCAUUCUUGACGCUGAGGCGCGAAAGCUGGGGGAGCGAACGGG
rnacentral:rRNA from 1 species